ensembl:processed_transcript Rian RNA imprinted and accumulated in nucleus
CUGUGAGCAUUCUUAGAGUCAUGAAUCAUGACGACAAAUUUAAUUCUGAGAUCAACAUCAUAAAGUAUCCAGUGACAGCUAUAAGAAGUAGUCUUCUUUUAUAAGUCAGUAAAUGUAAAUAAAAAUUGACUAGGAAGUCAUUUAAUCAAAAGGCAGCUCACAAAGAAGACUACAUAUAUGUAUAUAUGUAUAUAUGUAAGAAGAAAGUGUGACAGAGUAAUGACCAUGGAGGUGAGGGAUAAGAUGAAAUGAGCAGAAGCAGGCAGAAUACAUAGAUAAGCGAACGGAACAUCAAUCUCUUUAUAACCUCUUCUGUCUAUACUUCAAGAAUGGAUAUCCUGCAAGUCGGCUUCGUAGAGUCUCCCUUGAAAGUGGACCUCAUGAUCUAGCCUUUAUGUCCGUGGAUUGACACUGUGAUGGAUUCCCCCCAAGUUCAUUUAGAUAUUCUCUCUUAUUCAUAAAUGUCACGGUCAGCUCUGUUCUUAUAGAUACCAGAAUGGAUACCCCAAGAAUGGAUACCCCUAAGCUGAUGUAUAUACACCCUUCCUCGGUUGUGAGAUUCCUGCUCUGGUGGUUGUAGUCAUAAGAUAUACAUCGUUGCGUACACCUUGGUUGUGGGCACGCACACUACUGUUGAAUUACCACCUUGUCCAAGUGGAUGGAUGCCCUCAAUGGGAUUGGCACUUUCUCCAUUGCUCC